UGGGGAAUAUUGGACAAUGGGCGAAAGCCUGAUCCAGCCAUGCCGCGUGUGUGAAGAAGGUCUUCGGAUUGUAAAGCACUUUAAGUUGGGAGGAAGGGCAUUAACCUAAUACGUUAGUGUUUUGACGUUACCGACAGAAUAAGCACCGGCUAACUCUGUGCCAGCAGCCGCGGUAAUACAGAGGGUGCAAGCGUUAAUCGGAAUUACUGGGCGUAAAGCGCGCGUAGGUGGUUUGUUAA
rnacentral:rRNA from 1 species